rnacentral:rRNA from 1 species
AGAGUUUGAUCCUGGCUCAGAACGAACGCUGGCGGCAGGCUUAACACAUGCAAGUUGAACGUGAUUUGUUUGGUGCUUGCACCGAGCAAUGAAAGUAGCGCACUGGUGAGUAACACGUGGGAACGUACCUUUUGGUGGGGAACAACAGUUGGAAACGACUGCUAAUACCGCAUAAGCCCUGAGGGGGAAAGAUUUAUCGCCGAAAGAACGGCCCGCGGAAGAUUAGGUAGUUGGUGGGGUAACGGCCUACCAAGCCGACGAUCUAUAGCUGGUCUGAGAGGACGAUCAGCCACAUUGGAACUGAGACACGGUCCAAACUCCUACGGGAGGCAGCAGUGAGGAAUAUUGGGCAAUGGAGGCAACUCUGACCCAGCCAUGCCGCGUGAGUGAAGAAGGUUUUCGGAUUGUAAAGCUCUUUCGGGUGUGACGAUGAUGACGGUAGCACCUAAAGAAGCCCCGGCUAACUUCGUGCCAGCAGCCGCGGUAAUACGAAGGGGGCAAGCGUUGUUCGGAAUUACUGGGCGUAAAGGGAGUGUAGGCGGUUAUGUAAGAUAGUGGUGAAAUCCCAGAGCUUAACUUUGGAAUUGCCAUUAUGACUAUGUGGCUAGAAUUACAGAGAGGAUAGUGGAAUACCCAGUGUAGAGGUGAAAUUCGUAGAUAUUGGGUAGAACACCAGUGGCGAAGGCGACUAUCUGGCUGUAUAUUGACGCUGAGGCUCGAAAGCAUGGGGAUCAAACAGGAUUAGAUACCCUGGUAGUCCAUGCUGUAAACGAUGAGUGCUUGUUGUCGGUAUUGUAUCGGUGACGAAGUUAACGCGUUAAGCACUCCGCCUGGGGAGUACGGUCGCAAGAUUAAAACUCAAAGGAAUUGACGGGGACCCGCACAAGCGGUGGAUGAUGUGGAUUAAUUCGAUGCAACGCGAAAAACCUUACCUAGCCUUGACAUGCCAGGAAGGCCUGAGAGAUCAGGCCGUGCCCGCAAGGGAAUCUGGACACAGGUGCUGCAUGGCUGUCGUCAGCUCGUGUCGUGAGAUGUUGGGUUAAGUCCCGCAACGAGCGCAACCC